rnacentral:rRNA from 1 species
AUUGAACGCUGGCGGCAGGCCUAACACAUGCAAGUCGAACGAGUGGCGGACGGGUGAGUAAUGUUUGGGAAACUGCCUGAUGGAGGGGGAUAACUAAUGGAAACGGUAGCUAAUAACGCAUACCAUCAGAUGUGCCUAGAUGGGAUUAGCUUGUGGGUGGGGUAACGGCUCAACAAGGAGACGAGCCCCAGCGGGUCUGAGUGGAUGACACGCCACACUGUAACUGAGACACGGUCCAGACUCCUACGGGAGGCAGCAGUGGGGAAUAUUGCACAAUGGGCGCAAGCCUGAUGCAGCAAUGCCGCGUGUAUGAAGAAGGCCUUCGGGUUGUAAAGUACUUUCAGCGGGGAGGCGUUACCCGCAGAGGAAGCACCGGCUAACUCCGUGCCAGCAGCCGCGGUAAUAC